AACUUCGUUCAUAACGUGUUUUAUAAAUGGUUUUAUAUUAGAAAAGAAAGAUUAAUAGAAAACUUUAGUAUUUCUAAGACGUUUUAUAAAGCAACGCCAACGGCGAGUAUUCUACGUGUAUCUAUAUCGACCUUUUGUUCAGUUUAAUCACAGCAAGAUGGUUUUUGCUUCAAAUGUUAUGGCAUAUGUGUACCGUUUGUACCGUUAUAACACUAACAGUUACUAACAGUAAGUAUCGUUGUGCAUUUAAAUCGAAUUUUGUGAUUUAUAUAAGUAAAAAUACGCUGUUUUGGUCAGCUGUGGUCAAAAUAUUUGAUCGGGCGCCAUUUUGCGAAAAUUAAACGAAGCCAUUGCGUUUGCAUUGAUCUUCAAUCAGUGGCGGAAAUUCACUUUUUCCGGGGGGGGGGGGCGGGGGGAGCAAAGCCUCCUAAAUUUCCGACAAAACUUUCAAAUUUCUGACAUACCCCCCAUUUGCACUCGAAAAACCUGUUUUUAGCGCUCUUUUAGGUCAAAAUUUCCAAAGAUUUGUCCCCCCGUCCCACCAACAUUUCCGCCACUGUCUUCAAUAGUGAGCUUAAGCUAGUGACAUUUUUGACAACACGAAUGGCAUGAGUAACGUCAGAAUACUGGAUCAAGGGCUGUGAUUGGUGAAAAACGUCACAUAGGUCGACGUCCGUGUUGUCAAAACCUCACUUGCUUUAGCUCGCUAAUCAGGCAAGCAGCUGUGGUGUCUGUACCACUGCUACCAAAAUGGCAAAAUAUCAUCAAGCCACUGUGCCAACUGCUGCCAAAACAUCAGCAAGGCACUGGCACUGUGACACAGCUGCUACCAAAAUAUUAGCAAACCACUGCUACCAAAAUAUCUGCCAGCCACUGCGACACAGCUGCUACCAAAAUAUUAGCAACACAUGACACAUUCCGUGACACAGCUGCUACAGUGACACAGUGGGUUGCUGAUACUUUGGUUACCAAAAUAUCAGCAAGCCACUGUGCCACACAGCUGCUACCAAGAUAUUAGCAAGCCACUGGUACCAAAAUCUCAUCAAGCCACUGUGCUACUGCUAAUUGUCUUGCCAUUGUGCAGGUAAACAAAUUGAACCUCACCAUUAUGCAGGUAUAUAUAUAAAAAUACCCAGAUUGGGGAUUAUAAUACAACUGCCCUAGCUGCCAACUUGCUGGUAAAAGGCUUUUACCAUUAAGGACUGUUUCACUUGACUGGAAUUAUUGGUGUCACACUACAAUUUUACCCCAAGUAAAAUAAUAUCUCGACUGAAAGGUAAAUUCUGGAAUCAAAUGUUGAUGGUGUUCUAUUUAUUAUAAAUGCAUUUUGUCUGCCAUGUCUUAAAAGCCUAGUGACUCGAACUGGCGAAAAUAAUGUUGUUCAGCACAGAUGGACUAUGCUAUCAUAUUAUUAUUAUUAAGACUUUUGAAUGAUGUCGAGGAAAAUCCAGGUCCUAGAUUUAUUAAUGACAUUUUUUAUUAUACUUAUACAGUUCAUGCCGAUUUCCAUCAAGGUCAUGUAUUAAUACUUGUAGAAGUAAAUGUUUAUUUUGCAUUAUCAGAAGCUUCAGUGACAGUGAAGCCAGUCCAACGACUGCAUAGGCUAUCAUCAAAGUCUUUCAACAUAAUUUAUUAAACAAGAGUAUUAAACAGUUCAUACAUUUUUCAUUUUACGGACUUGGCUUGUAAAUUAUUAAGCAGAAGCCACAAGGCAGCUUCAGGGGCGUAGGAAGCAACGUGGAGUUGGGGGGGGGGGGGGCCCCAAAAAAANNNNNNNNNNNNNNNNNNNNGGGGGGGGGGGGGGGGACACUACAUAAGAAGGGCACCUUUUUAUUAUAAAGGCAUUUUCCCCAUUGUUUUAUCAAAAAAAUUGGUACUUUGAGGGUAACUUGGGGGCAGGGGGUACGUACCCCCAGUGCUCCCCGGUUCCUAUACCAUAGACCUAAAUUUUACAACCGGCCCCUGGUUGUUAUAACAGUGGAGAAAAAACACGUCGGUUUGUGCAAAUGCAAAUACCGAUUCACUCCCAAUAAUAAGCCACCCACCCCAAUACGCCAUACGGAACGAAAGCUUUCCUUACUAAAUGUGACUGUUUUUUGCAUUCAGCUAGAAUGUUAAGGACUCCGGGAAUUGCAAACUAAAAUUAAACAAAAGAAACACGUUAAAAUGGCCCAUAGAACAAACUAGAAAUUGGAACAUAACGAUAGCUGUUAUCGUAAUUGAAUACGUCUAUGCUACGUACCAGUGGUAUCUGCAUUAUUUUAACAUCGAGACGAGGCUAUAGGGUCAUGUUUUGUGUUUUUGACCCUUUAGCCUCGUUUUCGUGCGUACUUCCACUGAGAUACUGCUGGUAUUCCGCAGCGGCGUAUUCAAUUACGAUAACAGCUAUUAAAAUAACCAUGCAACCGUUACUAUGCCAACCGGCUAAAUUUCACGACGUUGGCGAACAGAAUUGAUUUCCGUUAAUAGGUAAGUGAAGUGUUUCUUCCUCAUGGCCAAAGGCCUUAUGAAUUUUGUUUCAUGUAUUCGCCACGGAUAUAUUAGAUUAACUUAAAAAAUAAGUAUAUCAUAUAGUAUGCAAUUUACAGAGUUCAAAACUGAAAUAAAUAUCUGAGGUGUGACAGUCAAAAGAAAACAGAACUUUCAUCUUAAUAUCCAGCCUGAUCCGAACCUACAGCCUGAAAUUUGCAUUUAGACACCCAUUUUUAUCAGAACUAAUUCAGCCUGAUUUUUAGAAUGCAGACAUUAAAGCCACGUAAUACAACUUAAAUAUUCUGGGAAAAGCCGCUUAGUAUAGCUUAGAUGGCAGUUUUGCCAAAAUUGGACGGGGCGAGUCCAAUUUGGCAAAUUUCCAAACAUCACGAGUACUAUUAAUCCCUAAUUGUACGAGCAACAACGCAUGAUUACUUGUUUAUUAUUAGCAUGACAAAAUUGGAUACGUACUUUUCAAUGUCAACAUCAUAUUCUCUCGCCAAAGCCCAGUCCUGCCAGACUUUCAACCAAAAUUUGGUGCUUUUGUUUGUAUUUUCAUUUAGUUGUUUUGUUCAAGCAAAAUUUGGUGCUUUUGUUCGUAUUUUCAUCUAGUUCCUCUGGGGCAAUUUCAUUUCACGCUUGUGUUUAAAAUACGUUUCCGCCAUUUUGUUUGUUUUGGGAAAAUCAUUAAUUGUACUGCAGUUCAAUUAAUGAAAUAAUUGUACUCCUCUCAACCAAUCAGCAUCCAGUAAUUUUGUUAUGCUAAUAAUAAGCUAAUUAACCCUAGGUUAACCCGAACUUCAAAGCAAACUUCUUGAUAGGCCGUGGGCAACAGUGCGAAAAAAGUGCCUAGAAAAGCAAUUUCGUGGCACCCUCCUGGGAAAUAGAUUUUCUGUGGUUCAAUUCAUAGAACCAUAGAUGCUUAAUUACCACAAAAAGUUCCCAAGCAAAAAACUUGCCCAACACCGAGAAAAUGGGUGAUCAGUGAUUAUCCUCCAUUAAAUUGUAUUACAGCAAGAAAAUGUAAAAUUUUGUAUUCAAUUACAACAAAAAUUACUUGCAUUAUCAGAAAGCUUACAAAAACCUACAUAUAAGACAUUUAAACUGUUUUUUUAUAUCUAAAAUUGUUUUCGAGUUAUACGCUGUCAAAAACGCGUUUUUGACCUAGUACCCAGUCCUUAUUGCGAGUUUUUGGUCCAAUUUUCACAUUUAAAACAGCAAUAAUUCAAAGACUAUUUGAAAAAUCAAAAAACUGUUUAAAAGUCUUAUAUGCGGUUUUUUGUACGCUUUCCGAUGAUGCAAGUAAUUUUUAUUGUAAUUGAAUACAGAAUUUCCCUUUUUUUGCUGUAAUACAAUUUAAUAGAGGAUAAUCAUUGAUCACCCAUUUUCUCGGGAUUGGGCAACUUUUUUGCUUGGGAACUUUUUUUGGUAGUGAUGUACCUAUAUGCCUUUCAAAUAAACCCCAAACCAAGUAUUUCCCACAUGGGUGCCACGAAGCGGAAUAAUUUUGGCCAACAGCCCACGGCCUAUAUGGGUAAUAGUAUGGUUUCGAGUGUAAUUUGGGGAAAAACAUGCCGAGUGAGUUUUUCAAAGACGAUCAAAAUUGCACGAGUCCGAAGGACGAGAGCAAUUUGAAGUCUUUGAAAAAGCUCACGAGUGUAUGUUUUUCCAAAUUGCACUAGCCUGCGUGCAGGCCCAAGGGAACCUGCACGCAGGCUAAAAUUGCACGAGAAACCAUACCAUUACUUAUUAACAAUAUACAUGAAAAAAUUAUGCAGUCACUCCUAAAAACUAGUAAAUGUUUGUUCUUUUGUAUUAUUUCUGCUGGAAAUUGCUGUAUCGUAUUGGCUAUCUUUGUUAUUGUUUCAUAUUUUAAGCCAAUCAGAGAGCCUAAAUAGUCAAUGAAAUUUGCACUGUAUUUCUUUUUUUGCGCUGUAUUUCUUUUUUUGCACUGUAUUUCUUUUUUUGCACUGUAUUUCACUUUUUUGUACUGUAUUUUACUUCUCAGCAUUGUAUUUCGAAAAAAUUGCACUUCUCUUAGCCAAUCAAAAUUGAGAAAUUUUUUCAUGUAUAUUAUUAGUUUAUAAAUUGGAACUGUUUCUUUAGAAAUCUUGGCUGGGUCGAUAUGAGUUUACUUCCCGGAAGUUUUGCAAUAAACAUACAUAUGCGUAUUGCGUAAACAGAAAUGCACCAGUUAAAUUUUAACUGAGGGUUCGCGCUAACCCAUCUUUGAACAAUUCCUAUUCAUUUUGACCUUAAAAACUGUAGGUUCUUAAUAGUGGUAUUUUACUGUUCUCAGCGGUUGUUCCCAUCAUUCCCGUCAUGUAUAGCUAGCGGCUGACGUUUCGGCUUUCAAAAUGCGAGCCGAAACCUAUACUCGCCAGGGCACAACAGGUACCCCAGCGAGUAAAUACAAUAUUAUGUCAAUCAUAACUCAUAGUGGGGUUCCCUGUGUUCAAGCAUGAAAUUUGAUCCGUUUAGUACGGUGGCUCACAAGUGUCACGGCGAAAGUACGGCAAAAUUAAAUUAACUCAUCACGGCAAAAUUAAAUUAACUCAUGACGGCAAAAUUAAAUUAACUCACGGCAAAAUUAGAUUAACUCACGGCAAAAUUAAAUUAACUCACGGCAAAAUUAAAUUAACUCACGGCACAAUAAAAUUAACUCACGGCAAAAUAAAAUUAACGAAAUAGAAUUAUUACUGGAACCACUCAGUAUUUUUAUAAAAUACAAAAGAACAGUAACUCCGAAGAACAUUUUGUUUUGAUUUAUUGAAUCUACGUUUCGACUAGAUUGUAGUCAUCUUCAGGAUUAGUGUAAGAUUACAAAUACAGCUAUAUAUAAAGAGAGGAAAGGCGGAGCUUAAUGUCAGUGAAAUAUGAUCAAUUCUUUAGAGAGGGCCCUGAAGGGGUAAAAUGGGAACUGGGAUUGAUCUAUUUUUAGACUGGGAAAAUGGGAUUUGGGUUGCUGGGACUGGGAUUUGGCCACUGGGAAUGGGAAAUGAAGUCCUCAAAAAUGGGAAUGGGAUUGAGGUAAUGCGAUUCGAUUCCCAAUUUUUCUGCGUUUCAGUUGAGUAUUUUAAAAUACAAUUUUGAUCCGUUUUUGUGUCUUUGGUCAUGAUUUUUGUUGUUAACUAUAUUAUUCAUAGCACUACCUGUGAAGUGAACAGGCAUACUCUGGCUCCCGGAAUUCUGGGUUUUCUGAUUAUGCAUUGCGUGUCUCAGAAUGCUGCAAAUGCUAUUUCCGGGAUUCAAAUUUAAAAAUUUUCCGUGCCUUCGGCACGAGCCCCCCCCCCCCUAAUAUUUCAUAAAGUGUCCACCACUUGCACACACGGUGGCUUAAAAGGUCUUAAAACUGUUUAUUCUACCGAUAAAUGAAGGUUUUUUUAUUGACUGGGAUUUCUAAUAAAAAUCCAACUGGGACUGGGAUUUUGUCAAACUUUCAGGUGGGAAAUGGGAUUAGGACCCCCCUUCAGGACCCUCUUUAGAUGCUUUAGCGCCAUGGUUUAGUUCCGGGUUUUUUGGUUUCCGGUUUCUGGAGGCGAAACCCGGAACUAAACCAUGGCGCUAAAGCAUCUAAAGAAUUGAUCAUAUUUCACUGACAUUAAGCUCCGCCUUUCCUCUCUUUAUAUAUAGCUGUAUUUGUAAUCUUACACUAAUCCUGAAGAUGACUACAAUCUAGUCGAAACGUAGAUUCAAUAAAUCAAAACAAAAUGUUAUUUGGAGUUACUGUUCUUUUGUAUUUUAUAAAUAGAAUUAAGAGGCCUAAAACAAAAUGUCCGGCACCUAUUGUCUCGUUUCGCUUGUGAGUUAUUUCUUCAGCAAAUUAUAAACCAUUAAUCUUCUCUGACUUUCCUUCCUAGUUCUUAAUUAUUUGUUUACUGUUUUAAGCUGAUUUGUUUAGGUAGGUACAUGACUUUUGUUAUAGCUUAAUUAAUAGUCAGAGAAGAUUAAUAGCUUAAUUUGCUGAAGAAAUUACUCGCAAGCCAUUUUGUUUUAGGCCUCUUCUAAGGCCGGGCCUUCCAACGUUAAAUUAAUUCUAUUUCGUAACUUUAUUUUGUCAUGAGUUACUGAACUUUAUUAUGCCGUGAGUUAAUUUAAUUUUGCCGUCAGUUACUUAACUACUUUAUUUUGCCGUGAGUUAAUUCUAUUUUGCCGUGAGUUAACUUUAUUUUGCUGUGAGUUAACUUUAUUUUGCCGUGAGUUAAUUUAAUUUUGCCAUGGCUAUUUACUUUCGCCGUGACACUUGUGGGCCACCGUAGUUUAGCAUGAAAUUCCAAAGUUUCCAAGCGCUGAAGUGGAAUAUGGAUUGUGGAAUGCGCAACCCAAGUCAGGAUGAAAUAUUUUAACAAAUAAACUUUCCCAACUUCAAAUGGCGUUAGAAUAAGUCGUUUUUAAUCUCCUAAAAUGAAAAUACUUCGUCUGUUGAGUACAAUCAUGGAUAUAAUAAAAACACCGAGUUUUUAUUAUCCAUGUGCAUGGUAAAAUGCACUUGUCAGUAUAUAACAUUUUAAAUGUCUGCUAAUUUUUUUGUUUAUAGCGAUUAUUAUUUUAUUGCCCAAAUUACAUAUAUGAGUAAAAAUUAACUAACUAAAAAUUCAUAAAACCAGUAUUAGGCCAAUGAAAAUUGAUAUCAUGUUUCUCGUCCCCGCCCGCAUGGGAUUUAUCUGCCGCACGAAAAUUUUUCAUUAUUCAUUAUUUUUGAAAAAUAGGCUUAAAAAACACCAAAUUCAUCUCCAGAUCAAAGUCUUAUUGCUGUAUUCCGCAAGCGCAACUCAAAUUGUAUCUUUCUAAAGAUAUUACUCGCCAGAAUGCCUCUAUUUUUCAUGUCAGCCCUGGUAUGUGUAGAAAUAUACUGUAGUCUGUAGACUGUAGUGUAGGACGUAUUAAAUUAAAAUGAACUAUACAUCAAUUUUUAAUACUUCAGAUUUUUAUGGGGGUUUUUGCUGGGUCAAGGAAAUUAUUGACAAGCAGAAUUCAAAUACAAAAAAUAAUGAAAAAUGAAAAAUCCCGCUCCAAAUUUUUGAAAAUUGUGGACGAGAAAAUUAUAUCAAUUUUCAUUGGCCUUACGGCAGUAUAUUGUCAAGUCUUAAGACUUUAAAUAAAGGACAGAACGGAUACCUAUAGUGCUAUACUCACAAGUAGAAUAACUAUAAAUGCUCAAAACAUCGAAUCCUUUCUAAGUGCUAUAGUCAAUUAAUUUACCGCGAGGCUUGCAAGCUUAAUAUUAAAAAUGGAAACGCUAAAAAACAAACACUAUAGAUUGUUUACUUACAUAAAGUCCCCACAAGCCGAUACUACCAGAAUAUACGCUGCUUAUUUUGCUCAUCGCGACACCACCACAAAUCACGGAGAUCAAUGUAAGUACCAACAACGAACAUCCAACCGCGAUUGAGCCCGCACAUACACCCUCUGACAUGGUCAUUUUUUUGCUGGUUUUUGAGAAUUUCCAAAAGAUGAAAGACUCUCUAGUAAGUUCUGUUGAGUUCUGUUCAGCACAAUGUCAAUGAUUGCUGGGGACCGUUUUAAAAAAAUCGUGUAGUCCUGCCUAUGUCAACAAUCCGACAUGUAUUGUGACGCUUAGAACUUCCUGUAGUUCUGCCUAUGUAAUCGUAAUCGAUCUCACAUGCAUUACGAAGCGUGUUCGUUCCAAGAUCGUUAUUAGAUAGCUUAAGAUCUACGACGUCGACGUCAGCUAGGACGUCAGCAAUCUCGUUCCCCGAGCCUGCGAUCCUCGGGAAGGAAUCGAAGGCUCUGGGAUAAUCCGUUACCGGAAGCCAAGAAUCAUGGCUAAGAUUGAACUACGCAUUCCAUGUCAAUGGCCAAUCAGAUUCCUCCCUGAAACGGAUUAUCCCAGAGCAUUCGAUUCCUUCCCGAGGAUCGCAGGCUCGGGGAACGAGAUUGGGACGUCAGGGCUAUGCAGAGGACUGGGACUAGGAUGUCGUCCUAAUGUAGUCCCAGUCCUCUGCUUAGCCCUGACGUCCUAGCUAACGUCGACGUCGCAGAUCUUAAGCUAGAAAGUGGGAAUUUGCAAAAAGAAAACACAGGUAGUUUAUAAGGCAACUGUCAUGCGUGAGCAUGCGCACGGACGUUUACUUCACGCGGGUCAGCAGAGGCCAACAUCACUCCAUCUUAAAGCCCAUGCGUCUGGCGACUAGUAUAUUUAUAUAUAUUUACGCGCAUAUUGUAAAAUUUAUACAACGUGCAGAUAAAUGAAUACAAGAACCAACAGAACAAAGUCCUGCACUUCCAUUUGAUAUCAAAUAUGCCAACUAAGCUGUGGGCGACGUACCAGAAACUGAUGACCGACAUAUUUUACGUGCCGAGAAGUUAAGAAUGUAGCAUUCAAGUGUCGCCUUAUUUUAGCUUCGAUAAACUUUUUUCUUGGGCAAGUUAUGAAGGCGCAAUUAUGACUGGUAACUAAUUGAAUAUCAGGCUAAGAGUCGCAUGUUUUCAGUAAUAUUAAAUUAUUUAGCCGAAAUUACGUCGAUUGGGCUAUUUGCGAUAAGUUGAAGUGUAUAUGAAAUGGAAUUUCUUAUUUUCUGAAAUCAAAUAACUCGUUAAGCUGUAGUAUAACUUAUUUUUCAGUUUCUUGUUUUUAUGGUUUGUUCCCGAGACAUUUCAAUUUGUUUGAUAUGUAAAUGAGUGUGAAUAUGUCCGCUAAUUUAUGAUGUCACAUUGGUUGCAAGCUCUUCAAAAUGGUUGAAUAUCACUGCUAUCAUCCAAGAUGAUAAUUUCAAACUUCACUCACUGGUAAAUGUGAUGAAACACUGGAGAAAAACGUGAACUGAUAUCAACAGUUUUUAGAGUUAAUAGAUUUAUAACCAGUGUAAGUUGAGCUUGUAACCAACAUGACGUCAUAAAUUAGCGGACAUAUUCACACUCAUUUACAUAUCAAACAAAUUGAAAUAUCUCUGGAACAAACCAUAAAAACAAGAAACUGAAAAAUAAGUUGCACUACAACUUAAUAAUUAAAGAGUUCUUUCAUUUAAGAAAAUAAGACAUUUCGUGUCAUAUACACUUUAAUUAAGACUGCUUUCCGGUCACGCGUUUUUCAUACGUGCGUAUACGCACGAAAAAGUUGAAUUUUUUAUAAACAUUACCAGAAAUGUGGGUCAAGAUGGUCGAUAUGAUAAAAGUUACGCAACAAAAUGGCGUCCGAUACGGCUAGGAUUAGUAUAGGCAUAUAAGAACUUUCUAAAAUAUCGCAUCAAUGAGCCGCAAAUCACGCUUACUUGGCAUCGUUUUACAUCGGUUUAGGGAUGUCGCGAGACUUUCGGGAAAUACUCGAGCCGCAGGCUAGUGUAUUUUUACGCUUUUCGAAAGUCGAGCAACAUCCCAAGUGCAUGGAUCACGCUAUCCUGCUUGGAAAACCAUUUGGUAAUUGUUUUAUAAAAUAACUGCAGUGAAACAAUGACAUUUUAAGAAUCCCGCGAAGGCAUUUAAUUCUCGUGCAGGAUAGCCUGAUCCUGUACGGCUAUUGACCAAUCAAAUUGCGUGUUUCACUGUAGUUAUUAUAUGUAUGAUUCUGUAUGGGGCGGCCAUAAGCUUGCAUCUGAGUAUGACUUUGAAUGUUGGCUACUUAUUUAAACAUAUAGAUAUUACUCCCUUGCUGAUUUUAACAUCAUUUCGUUACGUUUCAGGUGGCUGUGGGGACGUCUGAUGGUUAGAAGCUCAAACAAAAUAAAACAUAUCUAAGACAAUAAUGGCACAAAGGACGAUGGCGAACGCUGUAGAUAUAUUAAUAUGUUGGGGAAAUGACGACGAAAUGGCAAAUUAUGGUCAGUUGAAUGCAUAAUGAUGGUUAAGGUAAAUGGAAUGAAAUAUGAAGAUAGACACUGGUCUGUUUAAAGUGCGUAUGACAUGAAAUUUCUUAUUUUCUUAAAUGAAAGAACUCUUUAAGCUGUAGUGUGACUUAUUUUUUAGUUUCAUGAUUUUAUGGUUUGUUUCCGAGACAUUUCAAUUUGUUUGAUAUGUAAAUUAGUGUGAAUAUGUCCGCUAAUUUAUGACGUCACUUUGGUUGCAAGCUCAACUUACAUUGGUUAGAAAUCUAUUAACUCUAAAAACUGUAGAUAUCAGUUCACGUUUUUCUCCAGUGUUUCAUCACAUUUACCAGUGAGUGAAGUUUGAAAUUAUCAUCUUGUAUGAUAGCAGUGAUAUUCAACCAUUUUGUAGAGCUUGCAACCAACAUGACGUCAUAAAUUAGCGGACAUAUUCACACUCAUUUACAUAUCAAACAAAUUGAAAUAUCUCGGGAACAAACAAUAAAAACAAGAAACUGAAAAAUAAGUUACACUACAGCUUAAACAGUUCUUUCAUUUAAGAAAAUAAGAAAUUUCAUGUCAUAUACAUUAAGAAACUGGACGAUGCCUUGUCGCCAGUCUCGACGAGAAAUGAAAACCGGGAAGGGUUCUUCUCUCCCGCCACGGUGUAUAUAGCGUCUCGAGGUACCGUACGUUGACGAAGGGUUGACGAAGGGUUUAUGAAGGAAUGGCGGAUUUAGGGGAAUGAAAUAGGCGUUAUUUUUUGCUUCCGUGAAAUUUUGGGAAUCGUUUCCUUGAGUUCGUGAAUUUUUAUUGGUUUGGUGUAUCGAAAUGGUGCUGCAAAAUAAUUUGAAGUUCUUGGCGAACCACACGCGCAGCUUAAAUAUGGAAUGAACAUACCCGAACAAGAAUUGUGUGAACAGUGAUUUCAUAUUUUCACAGACCGUGGAAAUCCACCGAAUCCACCGUUUUACAACCUCUGGGAAGACGGCCAGAAAGCUAUGAAACUACGAAUAUAUCAGUGACUCCAUAUUUAUCUAGAGCGAGAACUCGAGUCCAAAGACUGAAGCCAAAGACGGAGCUAUUGGACGUCAGCUUCAGUCCCUUUCUAUUGCUUUUAUCUGCGCGGUUUGCAAGGAGUGUGCUGAGCUCCGAUUUAGAGAAUAGUACCAUGGUUUUACGAGCUGAUAAUUGGGUUAGCCAUUCGGUCCUAUAUAAGAAACUGGUAUUAGCUCGAAAAAUGGGAUUACGACCUUCAAAGCUAUAUUGGACGUAUUAGCCUUUCUGACGAUGACGAUUAUCUGCUAUUUUUUGGUGGCAUCUAAUUCUCGUUAACCAAUGCAGACAAUUAAAACAAUGUGAAAAGCGAUUUUUCAAAAUAAACUAACCAUUUACAACUAAACUAAUAUAUAUAUAUAUAUAUAUAUAUACAGGGUGUAUCAAAAUA
rnacentral:lncRNA from 1 species